rnacentral:lncRNA from 1 species
UCAUAUCUCGUUUAUGAUUCGUUUGCAUGUUGUAAAUGUUACUGUUUUUAUAUGGAGUCGUCACGCCGCUGCCAUAAGAAAAUGGCGGAUUUCACAGAUCAGACCUUUUUACCUUUGAUGAACCUCUGGAUAUAAGUGACAAUAAUCAUUUAUAAGCGCUGUUCUCAGCACAAAGAUCCCUGGACUGGAUCUUCAGAGUCAUUGUUGGAGAAUGUACUACUAUGUACUAUGUGUACUACUCGUUGUACAAAAGGAAGUUUUUCCUUGCCGCUGUCGCUUUUGGCUUGCUCACGGGGGACCCCAGUGGAGCCAAAGUGUUGGAGGGUCCAGACGCAGCCAAAGGCCCAGAAGUCCAUGUUGGAGCCAACAUCCCUCGCCCCGAAAGACCAAGGCAGAGCCAUAGAGACGAAUGACACCAGCAGAGCCAGAGGAAUCACAGAGUCAUCAUCUUGUUCAUGUGCAUUUUAUUAUUUUGGAUUAUUUUGCGUGUAUAUUUGGCUCAUAUAG